AACGCGAAGAACCUUACCUGGGCUCGAACGGCUUUGGAACAUCUUUGGAAACAGAGACUUCUCGCAAGAGACCGGAGUCGAGGUGCUGCAUGGCUGUCGUCAGCUCGUGUCGUGAGAUGUUGGGUUAAGUCCCGCAACGAGCGCAACCCUUGUCCUGUGUUGCCACUCCCGUAAGGGAAGCACUCUCAGGAGACCGCCAGCGAUAAGUUGGAGGAAGGUGGGGAUGAUGUCAAGUCAUCAUGGCCUUUAUGUCCAGGGCUACACACGUGCUACAAUGGACGGUACAAAGCGCCGCAAACCCGCGAGGGGGAGCCAAUCGCAAAAAACCGUUCUCAGUUCGGAUCGCAGGCUGCAACUCGCCUGCGUGAAGCUGGAAUCGCUAGUAAUGGCGUAUCAGAACGAUGCCGUGAAUACGUUCCCGGGCCUUGUA
rnacentral:rRNA from 1 species